rnacentral:rRNA from 1 species
UACGGGGGGGGCAAGCGUUGUUCGGAAUUACUGGGCGUAAAGGGCGCGUAGGCGGCCUUCUAAGUCAGACGUGAAAUCCCUCGGCUCAACCGAGGAACUGCGUCUGAUACUGGAAGGCUUGAAUCCGGGAGAGGGAUGUGGAAUUCCAGGUGUAGCGGUGAAAUGCGUAGAUAUCAGGAGGAACACCAAUGGCGAAGGCAGCUCGCUGGGACGGUACUGACGCUGAGACGCGAAAGCGUGGGGAGCAAACAGG